UGCAUGCGCCGAGCGCCGUGCGUCGGUCUGCGCUCUGUUUAGCUCGGCGCUAGGUGAUAGGACAGGCAGGGGCAGAGGGGCUGGAGAGCUAAGCGGCGAGCGGACGAGCAGCCUCGGGCCUCCGGCAGGGUCGGACCGCGGACGGAGGGGAAGCGCGGGCAGGCCUCGUGCCGCAGUUGGCGCGGGAGGCGCGGGUCGCGGGUGACGUGGACCGCGGGCGGCGCGGCGGAUUAGGCGUUAGGCAGUGAGCCGACCGUCCGCCGUGGCGCCGUCGUUGGAACGAGGACACCGUAAAUCAGACUAAACUCACACACGAGGGUCAAGUAGUGAGCGGAGUUCUUUCUACACCGCGAGAACCCAGACUUCAACGGGAGGAUGUCUCUACCUCUUCCUUAGAAACCACCGACUGCGUCCAGGAUCAUCCAUGGAACACUGGAGUUACGACCUGUCAGAACGACUUAAGGCAUUGUAUGGGAAGAUAUGCUUAUUAAAUUUCAUAGGGACCCUCCUUCUACUCCUCCUCUAAUUCCGCUUACUUAUGCUACCUUAACUAAUAUUAUUUCAUAGCUCGUUUGGUACCGGUAGGUACGGUAUAUCUAGAUCAUUCUCUUCUCCCCCUUCUCCUUCGUUAAGACAACUAGGGGUUGUACCCUUUACCGGAGUGGCGUUCUUUCACCUAAGCGGCGUUGGCGAGAAUUGAUCACUUCUUCAAGAAGCACAAGCAAACCUGUACAUGUUAAACUUUCUUAGAGUCUUAAGUCUUCUCAGGGAGAAGUUAACGGAGUGUAGAUUCCUCCUCGACUUCCAGUUGAAGGGAGUGUGGUACUGUAUGAUAAUAGUAAGGUAAGCACUGCCGGACUUUCGUUUCAGAAUGGGCGUGAAGAAAGUGGUUAAACAACCCUUCAAAAGUAGAGGUACGACAUUGAUAUAACUUGGAUGCUGAGACCUUCCACUAAACGUUAUGUAGCUAAAGAAACUGUUUGAUUACCUCAGUCGCUCCAUGUCUCUCUGGUUUCUGCCCCACGAUCGGUUCCGAUAACAGUAACGUUUGUUCAAAAAGGUUUUUUACGACAAAAAAGUUUAAUCCUAACGACAACUACUCAUGAAUGUCGAGUACGUAGUAGAGCUCUUCUACCGCGUCUCCGUAUUCGACAUGAUAAUGUAACACGUACUUCUCGAUUAACUCUUUUUCCUCGCAUUUCGAUAAAAGUUCGUGUAGGUUCUUCCUUCUCAAGCAAAUAAGAUACUAGAAUGGCUCAAACGACGAGAUCUCAACCUCCUAACACUUAUAUGACAUGUUCUGUGCCAGCUUGCAGAAUUUCUUGAAUGACCACCAUUCAGAGGAGGUUUCUUUUCGUAGUUUCUACCGUGAAUGUUUUCCGCAUAGACAUUACUCUAGCUAUUCGACAAGGGUUCUCUUUAGCUCGAAAUAUGCAGAAAAGAGUUUGUCUUUUACUUCUGUCGACUUCUUGUGUUACAAUAUGGGUUCCCUUGAACACUUGCAAAGGCAUCAAAUAGAUUGAAACUCAGUUCUCUCUUUCUUGAUCUCGAUAGAUACACACAGUGGACGAUAAAGAGUCACUUUCCUAAACAAAUACUAUGACGUCUUCCCUGGACUUCUUUUUAUAUCUCCACUAAUCGGUUCGCGCACUUGAAACGGUAAAGUAGUUCAACUGCUAACGAACUCCGAUCUCGUAAGUUAUACAAUUCUAAACCAACUUCGACCACCGUAUCUUGUAAAGAUAAAUACAUCAAAAGAUCAUAAUAAUUGUCCAACAUACUUUGUGACUAACUGAUAUUAUUUGCAUGAUCAUGUUUUAACCC
rnacentral:rRNA from 1 species